CAGUAGCCGCGGUAAGACGAACCGUGCGAACGUUAUUCGGAAUCAUUGGGCUUAAAGCGCGUGUAGGCGGAUGGGAACGUCGGUCGCUGAAAUACCCCGGCUCAACCGGGGAACUGGCAUCGAAACGACCCGUCUCGAGGGGCAUAGGGGGAGCUGGAACUUCCGGUGGAGCGGUGAUACGCGUUGAGAUCGGAAGGAACGCCCGUGGCGAAAGCGAGCUCCUGGAUGUCUUCUGACGCUGAGACGCGAAAGCUAGGGUAGCGAACGGGAUUAGAUACCCCGGUAGUCCCUGUCUCUUAUA
rnacentral:rRNA from 1 species